UACGGGGGGGGCAAGCGUUGUUCGGAAUUACUGGGCGUAAAGGGCUCGUAGGCGGCCAACUAAGUCGGAUGUGAAAUCCCCAGGCUUAACCUGGGAACUGCAUCCGAUACUGGAUGGCUUGAAUCCGGGAGAGGGAUGCAGAAUUCCAGGUGUAGCGGUGAAAUGCGUAGAUAUCUGGAGGAACACCGGUGGCGAAGGCGGCAUCCUGGACCGGCAUUGACGCUGAGGAGCGAAAGCUAGGGGAGCAAACGGG
rnacentral:rRNA from 1 species